CCUACGGGAGGCAGCAGUAGGGAAUAUUGCUCAAUGGGGGCAACCCUGACGCAGCAACGCCGCGUGGAGGAUGAAGGUUUUCGGAUUGUAAACUCCUUUUGUCAGAGACGAUAAUGACGGUGUUUAACGAAUAAGAACCGGCUAACUCCGUGCCAGCAGCCGCGGUAAUACGGAGGGUGCAAGCGUUACUCGGAAUCACUGGGCGUAAAGAGCGCGUAGGCGGGAUAGCAAGUCAGAUGUGAAAUCCUAGGGCUUAACCAGUGGACUGCAUUUGAAACUGCUGUUCUAGAGUAUGGGAGAGGUAGGUGGAAUUCUUGGUGUAGCGGUAAAAUGCGUAGAGAUCAAGAGGAAUACUCAUGGCGAAGGCGGUCUGCUAGAACAUAACUGACGCUGAUGCGCGAAAGCGUGGGGAGCAAACAGGAUUAGAUACCCGGGUAGUC
rnacentral:rRNA from 1 species